CGGUUAAGUUAGAAAGGGCGCACGGUGGAUGCCUUGGCACUAGGAGCCGAUGAAGGACGGGACGAACACCGAUAUGCUUCGGGGAGCUGUAAGCAAGCUUUGAUCCGGAGAUUUCCGAAUGGGGAAACCCACCACUCGUAAUGGAGUGGUAUCCAUAUCUGGAAUACAUAGGAUAUGAGAAGGCAGACCCGGGGAACUGAAACAUCUAAGUACCCGGAGGAAGAGAAAGCAAAUGCGAUUCCCUGAGUAGCGGCGAGCGAAACGGGACCAGCCCAAACCAAGAGGCUUGCCUCUUGGGGUUGUAGGACACUCUGUACGGAGUUACAAAGGAACGAGGUAGAUGAAGAGGUCUGGAAAGGCCCGCCAUAGGAGGUAACAGCCCUGUAGUCAAAACUUCGUUCUCUCCUGAGUGGAUCCUGAGUACGGCGGAACACGUGAAAAUUCCGUCGGAAUCCGGGAGGACCAUCUCCCAAGGCUAAAUACUCCCUAGUGACCGAUAGUGAACCAGUACCGUGAGGGAAAGGUGAAAAGCACCCCGGAAGGGGAGUGAAAGAGAUCCUGAAACCGUGUGCCUACAAGUAGUCAGAGCCCGUUAACGGGUGAUGGCGUGCCUUUUGUAGAAUGAACCGGCGAGUUACGAUCCCGUGCAAGGUUAAGCAGAAGAUGCGGAGCCGCAGCGAAAGCGAGUCUGAAUAGGGCGAAUUGAGUACGUGGUCGUAGACCCGAAACCAGGUGAUCUACCCAUGUCCAGGGUGAAGUUCAGGUAACACUGAAUGGAGGCCCGAACCCACGCACGUUGAAAAGUGCGGGGAUGAGGUGUGGGUAGGGGUGAAAUGCCAAUCGAACCUGGAGAUAGCUGGUUCUCUCCGAAAUAGCUUUAGGGCUAGCCUCAAGGUAAGAGUCUCGGAGGUAGAGCACUGAUUGGACUAGGGGCCCCUACCGGGUUACCGAAUUCAGUCAAACUCCGAAUGCCGAUGACUUAUCCUUGGGAGUCAGACUGCGAGUGAUAAGAUCCGUAGUCGAAAGGGAAACAGCCCAGACCGCCAGCUAAGGUCCCAAAGUAUACCGUUAAGUGGAAAAGGAUGUGGAGUUGCUUAGACAACCAGGAUGUUGGCUUAGAAGCAGCCACCAUUUAAAGAGUGCGUAAUAGCUCACUGGUCGAGUGACUCUGCGCCGAAAAUGUACCGGGGCUAAACGUAUCACCGAAGCUGCGGACUGUUCUUCGAACAGUGGUAGGAGAGCGUUCUAAGGGCUGUGAAGCAAGACCGGAAGGACUUGUGGAGCGCUUAGAAGUGAGAAUGCCGGUAUGAGUAGCGAAAGAGGGGUGAGAAUCCCCUCCACCGAAUGCCUAAGGUUUCCUGAGGAAGGCUCGUCCGCUCAGGGUUAGUCGGGACCUAAGCCGAGGCCGAAAGGCGUAGGCGAUGGAUAACAGGUUGAUAUUCCUGUACCACCUCCUCACCAUUUGAGCAAUGGGGGGACGCAGGAGGAUAGGGUAAGCGCGGUAUUGGAUAUCCGCGUCCAAGCAGUUAGGCUGGGAAAUAGGCAAAUCCGUUUCCCGUGAAGGCUGAGCUGUGAUGGCGAGCGAAUUAUAGUAGCGAAGUUCCUGAUUCCACACUGCCAAGAAAAGCCUCUAGCGAGGUGAGAGGUGCCCGUACCGCAAACCGACACAGGUAGGCGAGGAGAGAAUCCUAAGGUGAUCGAGAGAACUCUCGUUAAGGAACUCGGCAAAAUGACCCCGUAACUUCGGGAGAAGGGGUGCUCUGUUAGGGUGCAAGCCCGAGAGAGCCGCAGUGAAUAGGCCCAGGCGACUGUUUAGCAAAAACACAGGUCUCUGCGAAGCCGUAAGGCGAAGUAUAGGGGCUGACGCCUGCCCGGUGCUGGAAGGUUAAGAGGAGCGCUUAGCGUAAGCGAAGGUGCGAAUUGAAGCCCCAGUAAACGGCGGCCGUAACUAUAACGGUCCUAAGGUAGCGAAAUUCCUUGUCGGGUAAGUUCCGACCCGCACGAAAGGCGCAACGAUCUGGGCACUGUCUCAACGAGAGACUCGGUGAAAUUAUAGUACCUGUGAAGAUUGCAGGUUACCCGCGACAGGACGGAAAGACCCCGUGGAGCUUUACUGCAGCCUGAUAUUGAAUGUUGGUACAGCUUGUACAGGAUAGGUAGGAGCCUUGGAAACCGGAGCGCCAGCUUCGGUGGAGGCAUCGGUGGGAUACUACCCUGGCUGUAUUGACCUUCUAACCCGCCGCCCUUAUCGGGCGGGGAGACAGUGUCAGGUGGGCAGUUUGACUGGGGCGGUCGCCUCCUAAAAGGUAACGGAGGCGCCCAAAGGUUCCCUCAGAAUGGUUGGAAAUCAUUCGCAGAGUGUAAAGGCACAAGGGAGCUUGACUGCGAGACCUACAAGUCGAGCAGGGACGAAAAGUCGGGCUUAGUGAUCCGGUGGUUCCGCAUGGAAGGGCCAUCGCUCAACGGAUAAAAGCUACCCCGGGGAUAACAGGCUUAUCUCCCCCAAGAGUCCACAUCGAACGGGGAGGUUUGGCACCUCGAUGUCGGCUCAUCGCAUCCUGGGGCUGUAGUCGGUCCCAAGGGUUGGGCUGUUCGCCCAUUAAAGCGGUACGCGAGCUGGGUUCAGAACGUCGUGAGACAGUUCGGUCCCUAUCCGUCGCGGGCGCAGGAAAUUUGAGAGGAGCUGUCCUUAGUACGAGAGGACCGGGAUGGACGCACCGCUGGUGUACCAGUUGUUCUGCCAAGGGCAUCGCUGGGUAGCUAUGUGCGGACGGGAUAAGUGCUGAAAGCAUCUAAGCAUGAAGCCCCCCUCAAGAUGAGAUUUCCCAUUCCGCAAGGAAGUAAGAUCCCUGAAAGAUGAUCAGGUUGAUAGGUCUGAGGUGGAAGUGUGGCGACACAUGGAGCUGACAGAUACUAAUCGAUCGAGGACUUAACCAAUUU
rnacentral:rRNA from 1 species